rnacentral:rRNA from 1 species
GAUGAACGCUGGCGGCGUGCUUAACACAUGCAAGUCGAACGAAGCAUUUAGAACAGAUUACUUCGGUUUGAAGUUCUUUAUGACUGAGUGGCGGACGGGUGAGUAACGCGUGGGUAACCUGCCUUGUACUGGGGGAUAGCAGCUGGAAACGGCUGGUAAUACCGCAUAAGCGCACAAUGUUGCAUGACAUGGUGUGAAAAACUCCGGUGGUAUAAGAUGGACCGCGUCUGAUUAGCUAGUUGGUGAGAUAACAGCCCACCAAGGCGACGAUCAGUAGCCGACCUGAGAGGGUGACCGGCCACAUUGGGACUGAGACACGGCCAAGACUCCUACGGGAGGCAGCAGUGGGGAAUAUUGCACAAUGGAGGAAACUCUGAUGCAGCGACGCCGCGUGAGUGAAGAAGUAAUUCGUUAUGUAAAGCUCUAUCAGCAGGGAAGAUAGUGACGGUACCUGACUAAGAAGCUCCGGCUAAAUACGUG